UACGUAGGGUCCGAGCGUUGUCCGGAAUUACUGGGCGUAAAGAGCUCGUAGGUGGUUUGUCGCGUUGUUCGUGAAAACUCACAGCUCAACUGUGGGCGUGCGGGCGAUACGGGCAGACUAGAGUACUGCAGGGGAGACUGGAAUUCCUGGUGUAGCGGUGGAAUGCGCAGAUAUCAGGAGGAACACCAGGUGGCGAAGGCGGC
rnacentral:rRNA from 1 species